AGCGAACGCUGGCGGCAGGCUUAACACAUGCAAGUCGAGCGGGCGUAGCAAUACGUCAGCGGCAGACGGGUGAGUAACGCGUGGGAACGUACCUUUUGGUUCGGAACAACACAGGGAAACUUGUGCUAAUACCGGAUAAGCCCUUACGGGGAAAGAUUUAUCGCCGAAAGAUCGGCCCGCGUCUGAUUAGCUAGUUGGUGAGGUAAUGGCUCACCAAGGCGACGAUCAGUAGCUGGUCUGAGAGGAUGAUCAGCCACAUUGGGACUGAGACACGGCCCAAACUCCUACGGGAGGCAGCAGUGGGGAAUAUUGGACAAUGGGCGCAAGCCUGAUCCAGCCAUGCCGCGUGAGUGAUGAAGGCCCUAGGGUUGUAAAGCUCUUUUGUGCGGGAAGAUAAUUCGGU
rnacentral:rRNA from 1 species